rnacentral:rRNA from 1 species
GACGAACGCUGGCGGCGUGCCUAAUACAUGCAAGUCGAACGCAGUGGGGACGGUUGAGUAACACGUGGGUAACCUCCCAUCAGAGGGGAUAACACUUGGAAACAGGUGCUAAACCGAUACUGAUGGAUGAACUCGCGGGGCAUUAGCUAGUUGGUGAGGUAACGGCUUACCAAGGCCACGAUGCAUAGCCGGCCUGAGAGGGUGAUCGGCCACACUGGAACUGAGACACGGCCCAGACUCCUACGGGAGGCAGCAGUAGGGAAUAUUCGGCAAUGGACGAAAGUCUGACCGAGCAACGCCGCGUGAGUGAAGAAGGUUUUCGGAUCGUAAAGCACUGUUGGUAGGGAGGCGGUAUCUAACCAAAAAGCAACGGCUAACUCCGUGCCAGCAGCCGCGGUAAUAC